rnacentral:rRNA from 1 species
AGAGUUUGAUCCUGGCUCAGCCUGAACGCUGUCGGCGUGAUUAAGACAUGCAAGUCGCACGGUGUAGCAAUACACAGUGGCGGACGGGUGAGUAAUGUAUCGUUAACGUACCCCGAACUCUGGGAUAGCCAACCGAAAGGUUGGGUAAUACCAGAUGAGACCACGAGCUGGCAUCAGUUUGUGCUCAAAGGUUCGCCGGUUUGGGAUCGGACGAUAUGGUAUCAGGUAGUUGGUGAGGUAACGGCUCACCAAGCCUUCGACGCCUAGCCGGACUGAGAGGUCGGACGGCCACAUCGGGACUGAGACACUGCCCGGACUCCUACGGGGGGCUGCAGUAAUGAAUCUUCCACAAUGCACGAAAGUGUGAUGGAGCGACGCCGAGUGAAGGUUAAGUCCUUCGGGAUGUAAACUUCUAAAACCUGUUAGAAAGUUCUGAUCGACAGGCUAUAAGUGGCGACUAACUCUGUGCCAGCAGUCGCGGUAAUACAGAGGCCACGAGGCGUUAGGGCGGAAUCACUGGGCUUAAAGCGCGUGUAGGCGGAUGUCUAAGUACCUUGUGAAAUCCCACCGCUCACCGGUGGAACUGCUUGGUAUACUGGAUGUCUUGAGGUGCUCAGGGGCGAGCGGAACAGACGGUGGAGCGGUGAAAUGCGUAGAUAUCGUCUGGAACGCCAAUGGUGAAGACAGCUCGCUGGGGGCAUACUGACGCUGAGACGCGAAAGCCAGGGGAUCAAAGGGGAUUAGAUACCCCGGUAGUCCUGGCCCUAAACGAUGUCCACUAGGCUGUGGCACCUCUGACGGUGUCACGGCCGAAGCAAAAGUGUUAAGUGGACCGCCUGGGAAGUACGGUCGCAAGGCUAAAACUCAAAGGAAUUGACGGGGGCUCACACAAGCGGUGGAGCAUGUGGUUUAAUUCGAAGCAACGCGCAGAACCUUACCUGGGUUUGAAAUCCUUGGAUUAUCCUGAUGAAAGUCGGGUACACCCUUCGGGGCGGAACUUGGACCAGGUGCUGCAUGGCUGUCGUCAGCUCGUGUCGUGAGAUGUCGGGUUAAGUCCCUUAACGAGCGAAACCUUUGCCCUUAGUUACCAGCGGGUUAUGCCGGGGACUCUAAGGGGACUGCCGGUGUCAAACCGGAGGAAGGUGGAGAUGACGUCAAGUCCGCAUGGCCUUUAUGCCCAGGGCCACACACGUGCUACAAUGGUGCGUACAGAGCGAACCGAUACCGCGAGGUGGAGGAAAUCGCAGAAAACGCACCCCAGUUCAGAUCGGAGGCUGCAACCCGCCUCCGUGAAGUUGGAAUCGCUAGUAAUCGCGGGUCAGCCACACCGCGGUGAAUGUGUUCCUGAGCCUUGUACACACCGCCCGUCAAGUCAUGGGAGCCGGAAAUAGCCGAAGUAGUCCCACUACUGGGAUUCCUAAGCUAGGUUCGGUGACUGGGACUAAGUCGUAACAAGGUAACCGU